rnacentral:rRNA from 1 species
ACGAACGCUGGCGGCGUGCUUAACACCUGCAAGUCGAACGGAAAGGCCCUGCUUUUGUGGGGUGCUCGAGUGGCGAACGGGUGAGUAACACGUGAGUAACCUGCCCUUGACUUUGGGAUAACUUCAGGAAACUGGGGCUAAUACCGGAUAGGAGCUCCUGCUGCAUGGUGGGGGUUGGAAAGUUUCGGCGGUUGGGGAUGGACUCGCGGCUUAUCAGCUUGUUGGUGGGGUAGUGGCUUACCAAGGCUUUGACGGGUAGCCGGCCUGAGAGGGUGACCGGCCACAUUGGGACUGAGAUACGGCCCAGACUCCUACGGGAGGCAGCAGUGGGGAAUAUUGCACAAUGGGCGGAAGCCUGAUGCAGCAACGACGCGUGCGGGAUGACGGCCUUCGGGUUGUAAACCGCUUUCGCCUGUGACGAAGCGUGAGUGACGGUAAUGGGUAAAGAAGCACCGGCUAACUACGUG